AAUGCAUAGAAUUUAAAUUAGAGCAAAUGACAAUCUCAUGAAAUACACUGUCCUAAAGCAUAUUCCAAUAAAGCCAAGGAUUUAAUGCAUAUCGACAUUCAUUACCAUAACACUUGGUACUACUUUUGAGACUCACUAGGCUGUACUUCUCCUUUCCUGACUUUUCCACCAUGCCCUUGACAUUUCCUAAUUUUUGCAGAUCACUUCAGCCCUGGAAUUCACACAACCUCAGAAGUACUGUCUUUUCUGUCCUUAUGGCUCCUUCCUCUUAUUGGACAGCGCCUCCCAGAACCUUCAUUCAAAGAAGGCACCCAGGCUGGACCUCUCCAGGCUUCUCCACCAUGGCGCCAUACAAGAUUCUAUGGGCACCGCUUCCUACCACAGUCUGGCUCUUUUUCGUCCCAACCUAUUGAUCCUUGGCCGACUUAGCCCUGUUUUGAUGGACAUCAGCUGCUUCCUGGCCGGAUUCUUCAGGUGUAGACACAAAUUUUAGGUUGAGACUAUUCUCCCUGAAGCCUCUUGGGGCCAGAGUAAGUUGUUCCUUCCCCCAGAUUCUACAACCAGAACCUUCUGAACUCUCUCCAAGGCUUCCCCAACCUAGACUUACUCACGCAAGAAGUGUUUCUCCAGCAUCCUGUAGCGUACCCUCUGCUGCUCACUACGGUUCCUUCCCUUGGCUCAAUUCCUCACUAAAAAAAAAAAAAGGUUCUUUUUUAUUGUGAACUUAAUCAUGAAUAAAAUCAAAUGCUUCAAUAUAUAAAUAUAAGAGGAUUAUAUCAGAAACUAUGAACUUCAGUUGCA